GGAAGAGAGAGAAGGAUGUGGCAGAGGCGGCAGGUCAGGAGAGGGCCAGAACCGAGACAGGAAAAUGUCAGGUGACCAUACCCACAUCAAAGACAAAAAUGAGAAAGGGAGUCUAGGAAGGCGACACGGGUCCCUGGGCGAGAGGAAGCGGACUGGCACCAGGCUGGACUAGGAAGCUGUAAGGUGUCAGCGGAGCCUGCGGAGGAUGGAACAAAGGAGACCCCUCGCGGCGGGGGAGACAGUCACCUGGCGGAGGACGAACGCGGCGAGCAGGGCAGGGAAGUUCCUGGGUUCCCGUAAAGCGAUGAGACGUUGUGAAUUCGAAGUAGGUGGGAGAGAAGAGGGACGCGUGGUCUGCAACCAAGACGCCACGGGAUCAGAGGCACCCACCCCUGCUGAGGCCCGUGACCAUCUAAAGGAAACGUCAUUUGAGAGGCCCUACUCAUGGAUGAGAAGCCCUCUCUCCACUGUGGGCUGUGCCGGGUUGGCGGGGCAUUGCCGUGGAAUCAGGGUUUCCUCAGCACCCACAUCUGGCCACUCUCAUAAGAUAGGGCGAUUCCAACAUUCGCGGUUCCCAGCAGCCCAGAUGCCCCACAUCCAACUCUUGAGCCCACUGGGAGCUCUCCAUGCCCGCUCACAUGUCCCUCUUGCAAGUAGCCCGAUCCGCUGACCUGGUGUUCAUGGGCACUAAGAUGUUAAUGGAUUUUCCCUGGUCACCUUUGCAGCUCUACUGUUUUGAGUGGGUUAUUUUAAGGGCAGAAGGUGCUCCUCAGAGGGUUGUCACAAGUGAUACUUUUCCUUUGUGUCUGCCAGGUUAGCCCCCUUCACCUGUAAGAGCUUGGAGCCUAGAUUUGUCAUUCAUUUGUUCAAGUUUACUGAGUGGUGUCAUGCCAGGCACUUCUUUAGAUACUAAAGAUAAGGCAGGAAACGCAAUAUAGACUCUAGGGAUGUGGAACUUAACAUUCCAGUGGGGAUAAAGAGAUGAUACAUGAGUAAAUGUAGAUGAGGUGGAGACCGAUGUUACAAGAAAUGUAGACUAGGGUAAGAAUAGAGCGGCAGAGGAGGUGCUGCCUUACACGAUGGUCAGGGACAGGUCUGCCCUUAAUAUUUGCAAGAACUGAGUCAGUAGUACAAAUGGAGGCCCACAUAUGCUGUCUCCAUAUUUUAAAACUACAAACCAAAUAAACCAUGAUAUAAAAUUCCUGUCCUUUGAUCUUGGCAUCUGUACCUUCAUCAUAAUCUGGAAGGCCACAUUUACAUUUAGGAUUCUUGGACCCUUCUGAGAUAUGCCCUUGAAUGCAGUGCUUUGGAGGGGGAACUGGUCCUUGGCCCUCAGCCUGCCUUCUCUUGGCACCUUAGCUCUGUCCCAUACUUCAAAUGGCCUUGUGCCCACACCUAUAACAACUCUGUCUGCACAUCAGAGUUUUGUCCACACCUCCUACAAAUAGCUUCUCCUUGACCACCAGUUGCUCCUCAGGAGGACAGACCUUGGGAAAGGGCUGAUGCAGGCUGCAGCUGGUAACCUGUUGCUAUUGGAGCAGUAGGUUUUAGGGUCCCAGGUACUCACAGUGUGCUCUAAAAAGGGGAGAGGGGCAAGAGCUUUGGGUACAUCCCACUGGGCCUCUUGCUCUGUGGAAAAGAACAUUGAUGGAAGAGGAUCAGGUGCUCAGAACCCUAGAUUGGGUCACCUCUUGCCGCUGUCUUAAGGCAGUUUUAAAGAGGUAACUUUGAGCCAAAGACCUAAAUGAAGUAUGGGAGGAAGGCUUGUAGCGAUCUGGGUUAGGAGCAUUCCAGAAAGAGGUCCAGAGGUUGGAGCUUUUACUCCCUUCGUGUGUUCAUAAUCUCUCUGCCCCAUGUCUUAAACUGCAUAAAGAAAUUAUGUGUUAACCAUUUGGGGUGUCAGUACCUUGCUAAGUCUCCUCCGCCACGACACAGCCAAUUCCAGUUGCUGGGUACACCCGGGGGCUCACUCCCUGUACAGCUUCUGCUCUCCAACUCUUCUCACUACUAACCGCUUCUGGGACCAGAAUGGAUGGUCCUCUAGCAACCUUGGCUUCCAUGGGUUGGAAGUACUCCAGCGGCUAGCUCAGGUUCCAAUAAAAUUUGAUACCUUCAAAUGUCUCUGUUGUUAAACAGUGUUGUAGUUCUCAUCCCCGUGGGCCUAGAAACUAAGGAGACAAUGUCUACUGAACAUACUGAAUGAGAAAGUCACCCCAGAUAAAUACACAAAGAUUUGCUUGUUUGCAUAUCUGUUUCAGAGCAUCAGAAAUGGAAAAGAAUACAAACUAUUUGAAUGGAGUAGGGAAAAGUUUCUUGCCAGUGGGGCCAAAGAGGUUUAGGACUGAGUUUUAAAGUCUGGUGUUUCUGUAUCUCAUCUGAAGAGGAAUUUUCAACUUUAAAGUCUUGGAAGCCUUUGUUUAAACAGAACCUUGAAAGGAAACUUAAACAGAUAAGAGCAAGAACAAAAUUAUAACCUAGAGUAAAACUCACUUUCUGUGGUCAAUGGGGACCCUAGGCCUCUAUUUGACAAUCACUGGUUUAGAAUCAAGAACAGAAAUCACAACUUGCCCUUCCUGGAACUUCAGGGAUGAAAAGGUUACAGAAAAGGAAAUUUACUCAGGAAUGGGUGUUGAGAGAGGAAGGGGUGCUGAGAAAAGCCCUGGAGGCUGGAGGGGGCACUUAGAAAUUCCUACCCAAGUUCCCUGUUCCCCCCUUCGACAUAUAAGUUGUAGGAAAGGGGCCGAGACAAAUCAGAUGAGCAAAUAAUCGUAGUAGGAGCUAGCACUUUGCACCUGCUGCUCUAAACAUUUGCAGACUGUACUCAUUUAGUCCCCACGCCGACCCUCAAUAUGAGGUUGAUAUUAUAGCAACUCUCAACCUCAAUAUGAGGUUGAUAAACCGUUUUUAUAGAUGGGACUGAAGUGGAAGGGGUUCUGUUGACUUUCCCACUUGUGAAUCAUUCAUGUGUUAUGCAUGAAAAAAAAAAAGACGGAAUUUGGAAGUCUGCCACCCAAAAAUGAAAGAGAUUGUGAGAGGAAUGCAGUUUAUACACAAAUACACAUAGGGAGCAACAGA